AAGUUUGAAGCGAAAUAUCGCAUUUAGUUUCGACCUAAAACUUGGUGGAUACACCCAAACUUA
rnacentral:tRNA from 1 species